rnacentral:rRNA from 1 species
UACAGAGGUCUCAAGCGUUGUUCGGAUUCAUUGGGCGUAAAGGGUGCGUAGGCGGCGCGGUAAGUCGGGUGUGAAAUCUCGGAGCUUAACUCCGAAACUGCAUUCGAUACUGCCGUGCUUGAGGACUGGAGAGGAGACUGGAAUUUACGGUGUAGCGGUGAAAUGCGUAGAUAUCUGGAGGAACACCGGUGGCGAAGGCGGCAUCCUGGACCGGCAUUGACGCUGAGGCGCGAAAAGCCAGGGGAGCAAACGGG